AUUGCCCUAGUAACGGCGAGUGAAGCGGCAACAGCUCAAAUUUGAAAUCUGGCUCCUUUGGUGCCCGAGUUGUAAUUUGCAGAGGGUGCUUUGGUGUUGGCUGUGGUCCAAGUUCCCUGGAACAGGACGUCACAGAGGGUGAGAACCCCGUACGUGGCCGCCAGUCUUCGCCGUGUAAAGCCCCUUCGACGAGUCGAGUUGUUUGGGAAUGCAGCUCUAAAUGGGAGGUAAAUUCCUUCUAAAGCUAAAUAUUGGCCAGAGACCGAUAGCGCACAAGUAGAGUGAUCGAAAGAUGAAAAGCACUUUGGAAAGAGAGUGAAAUAGCACGUGAAAUUGUUGAAAGGGAAGCGCUUGGAGCCAGACGUGCCCGUAGUUGCUCAGCCGGGGUUCUCCCCGGUGCACUCUUCUGCGGGCAGGCCAGCAUCAGUUUGGGCGGUUGGACAAAGGCCUGCUAAACGUACCUCCCCCCGGGGAGGACUUAUAGGGUAGGCGGCAUACGACCAGCCCGGACUGAGGACCGCGCAUCUGCUAGGAUGCUGGCGUAAUGGCUGUAAGCGGCCCGUCUUGAAACACGGACCAAGGAGUCUAACAUCUAUGCGAGUGUUUGGGUGUCAAGCCCGAGCGCGCAAUGAAAGUGAACGCAGGUGGGAGCCUCUCGGGGCGCACCAUCGACCGAUCCUGAUGUCUUCGGAAGGAUUUGAGUAAGAGCAUAGCUGUUGGGACCCGAAAGAUGGUGAACUAUGCCUGAAUAGGGUGAAGCCAGAGGAAACUCUGGUGGAGGCUCGCAGCGGUUCUGACGUGCAAAUCGAUCGUCAAA
rnacentral:rRNA from 1 species